rnacentral:misc_RNA from 1 species
CCUCGCAUUCCUCUUCAGUCGUCGGCACAAGAGCGGUAGCCUUGGCCGCCCGCGGGUUUCCUGUGUUGCAUACCCACCGAAGGGUAUUCGGYCGUCGCAAGGAUGGACGUUCCUCCGUCGCCGUGCCCCGUUGCGUGGGCGCGGCGUGGGGCGAACCACGAAGGCACCGACGCGUGUCCGGGACGAGACGCGUCCCGGGCCACGRCGUGCGGCCUGAGCUCUCGGACGCAGUGCACCAUGAGGGCAGGGGUCGCUCGACGACCUCCGUUUGCCCGAGCUCGGCGUCAAUCGCCGCCCGCACCGAACGACCGCCGUCGUCGUCUCGGGACGUCGCGCCCCCCGUCGGGCUCG